CAGCAGCCACGGGAAUACGUAGGUGGCAAGCGUUGUCCGGAAUUAUUGGGCGUAAAGCGCGCGCAGGUGGUUUAAUAAGUCUGAUGUGAAAGCCCACGGCUCAACCGUGGAGGGUCAUUGGAAACUGUUAAACUUGAGUGGAGGAGAGAAAAGUGGAAUUCCUAAUGUAGCGGUGAAAUGCGUAGAGAUGUGGAGGAACACCAGCGGCGAAGGCGACUCUCUGGUCUGUAACUGACGCUGAGGAGCGAAAGCGUGGGGAGCGAACAGGAUUAGAUACCCCCGUAGUCCCUGUCUCUUAUAC
rnacentral:rRNA from 1 species